rnacentral:rRNA from 1 species
CUGGCCGUAAACGAUGAACACUAGAUGUUGGGGGAAUCGACCCCCUCGGUGUCGUAGCUAACGCGUUAAGUGUUCCGCCUGGGGAGUACGCACGCAAGUGUGAAACUCAAAGGAAUUGACGGGGGCCCGCACAAGCGGUGGAGUAUGUGGUUUAAUUCGAUGCAACGCGAAGAACCUUACCAAGGCUUGACAUCCUGCGAAUCUCCAAGAAAUUGGAGAGUGCCUUCGGGAACGCAGUGACAGGUGGUGCAUGGCUGUCGUCAGCUCGUGUCGUGAGAUGUUGGGUUAAGUCCCGCAACGAGCGCAACCCACGUUUUUAGUUGCCAGCAUUCAGUUGGGCACUCUAGAGAGACUGCCGGUGACAAACCGGAGGAAGGUGUGGACGACGUCAAGUCAUCAUGCCCCUUACGCCUUGGGCUACACACGUACUACAAUGCUGCAGACAAAGAGUAGCGAUCUUGCAAAAGUUAGCUAAUCUCGUAAACUGUGGCUCAGUUCAGAUCGUAGGCUGCAACUCGCCUACGUGAAGGAGGAAUCGCUAGUAAUCGCAGGUCAGCAUACUGCGGUGAAUACGUUCCCGGGCCUUGUACACACCGCCCGUCACACCAUGGAAGUUGGCCAUGCCCGAAGUCGUUACUCUAACCCUCCUUCGGAGGGAAGAGGGCGCCGAAGGCAGGGCUGAUGACUGGGGUGAAGUCGUAACAAGGUAGCCGUAGCGGAAGCUGCGGCUGGAUCACCUCCUAA